UCUUAUCAGGUGAGGAACAGUCAUACUGGGCUCUCUUUUUGACUCGGUCUCCGAUCUUCACUGUGGUCCUUGUGACACAGUGUCUUUCACCAACUAAAGCCCAACUGGCGAGGAGUCAGUAUAACUAUGGAGAGCUACAAGUCAACAUUCGGACAUGGAUUAUCAUUCAACGGCCCUUUCUCCAUCAACCAGAAGAUUCUUCAUUGGUUCCUACAACAGUGAUCAGUCAAGAGAUUUCAAAGUACGCUCUCCUUCCAAGCAAG